AUCUAAAACCUUUGUUCAGCGCGUGUGGAUCAUGUUCAGUAGAAAAUGGAGCGUGCUGAGUUGGGUAUAUUUACAGCUUCGACUGUUUAGGGCAAAGAGGCACGUUGUGAGGCUUCAUUGAUGAAAAGGUUGAGAGAAUAACCGCCACCCGUUUAUGGCAUUGAAGAGUUCAUGGUGGACAUAAAGCUAAUUCUUGCUACAAAUCUGGAGACUUUGGAUUGUCGUUUUGGAAUACUAAAGUGCAUCAACCAUCCUCGGGUGGCAAGAAGCCCUAGUGGUUCUGAACUCCGGACCACGAUGUUUUCUCUAACACUGAAUCCCUUGUAAUGAAUUACAUAUUAUCAUUUGUAAUUCUUUCAUGGUAAGCCAUUUUUGAUAGACACACAUAAAACAACCUCGUAGAUUGUGUUGGAGAAUUAAAUAUUAUAUUUGUCAGUGAACAC